rnacentral:tRNA from 1 species
GCCGAAGUGGCGGAAUUGGCAGACGCGCACGACUCAAAAUCGUGUGUGGUAACCCCACGUGCCGGUUCAAGUCCGGCCUUCGGCACCA